rnacentral:lncRNA from 1 species
GAACAUCCCCGAUCGAAUCCGAUCGCGAACAUUUAGCACAUCAGGAAUGAUGCAGCAAACUCUUACCCCAAAGGUGAAUGCUCGGGCAGGCGAGGAGUUUACCAGCUGAGUAAAAACAAAGUCCUCCAUGUCGGACGGGAACUGACGAAAUGUCAAUAACAAUCAAACUCACAAUCCUAUGGGAUCUCAAACAACCUAAAUCCUACGGGAUAUGCCCGGGGGCGCCCGAGGACGUUCACUCGAGGGGGGGAGGAAUGUGAGAUGGAUCAGCUCCCCUGGCAUCUCCCAACUGAGUACUCUUUGCCUGGUGUUACAUUUUUGCGGUUCCUCAGGGCUCAAACUGAUGAUUUCAGGUCUCGAUACCAGUUGUUGUAGCUGGCCGCUGAAUAUGCCUCCUGAGAUUCAGGUGCAGAGCUUCGUGCAUAUAUGUAGUUGAUAUGUGUGCCAUACAUGGUACACAGUAUAUACUGUGUACCAUAUCCCUGGAACUACAUCCACCUAUCGGUACUUUUCUGAAGUCGUGGUAUAACAGUUCAACACUGAGUAAUAGCAAUCAAAGCUUGCUGAAUGAAUGACCAGCCUGCUCACUGACCUCAUGGUUUGCUCCAUCCACGAUAGAGCGAAAUCUUGAUAACAGCUCGUGCAGCUCAUGAACCACUGGUGAUGUGUAGCGCUCUGGCAGCAAAACAUAUUGCAGCAACACGUCGUGCUGUAGGUAAGGCAAAAGCGAGAUUGAACCUGCAGUUCAGCAAUAGAGGCCCGUGAGCAACAACAGGGAUACUGUGUGUGUGUGUGUUUCAUGGUCAUAAGCGUGGGGGUGUGUACCCCGUGCCUGCCUCGCCCUCGGUCCCCUCCUACCUAGGCCUGGGAUAAUGUAGUAGCUGAUACACAGUACGGCUCUACAAAUAGCGCGAAGCGCGAUCAACAGCAUCUCGAGAGGCCUCCUCAGCGGCCAACUUCUACAUCUCAUGAAAAUUCACGAUCCUGAAAUCGUCGGUUCAACCUCUAUCAAUUACGCCUGGUGGAAUAUCGGGUUUGGCGACUCAGUGAGCGAAUAUCGCAUUGUAAAUAUAUAUGUACCUGAACCGACUGGACUGUCUCUGUGUCUGAAAAAUCUGAAGACGGCUAUGAGCAUGUGAAUUCGCCACAUGACGUGACGUGGACUGGUCACCCACUGCCCGAGGGUAGCAGAAGGUAGGCACAGACUGGUGGUAUAUGAGGCCGAAAAAUCAGAUUUUGCGCCCGAUGGUAUCGAGCCUCGAUCCCGGGACCUCUCGCGAGUUAGGGUCGCGCCUUACAGGUAGUACUUAACACAAAAUGAGCUAGUCCAACUUUUAUACUUAGGAUGUAUGGACAUCAGCUGCGUUAGCCUGGCUUGUCGUCCAUGCGGCAGCCUGGGGAAAGAUGGCUCAACUCCAUUUGAGUUUGCUGCUGGCUGCGGCCAAGAAACAUGCGAUGCAACCGCCAUAUGAUCCCUAGGUGUAGUUGGUUUGCAUACAAGUCGACGUAGAUACCUCCUGUGACCGCCGUACCGGAAGACAAUUUUCCGGUACGACAACAUGUGAGGUCCAGAACCGAACACAAAAGCAGGAAUCACCAUUCAUAGCGUAAAACGUCGCCGUCCAUGACUUAUGCAUAUGAAUUCACGUGUUCUCUUCGCGUUUUUCUCCUUCUUCGUAAGGCCAACGCGUCGACCAACGCACAUCUUACACCCGUCCGGUCCAGAGCCGCUAUUUUCAAUAAUAUUAACAUAAAAACAUAAAAGUCAUUAAGCAGCCCCUUCGCACAAAUGUGUCCGGUCGUACUGUGCCGAAUAAACGGUCCGUACAAGACGCCCCAAAAGCCAGGAGCGAAUUUUACCGCGCGGAUGCGCGCGUGCGAUUCACAAAAUGCGCGUGUACAAGUGUAUAUAAAUUUUCUUGGCGAAAAAGAACGAGGUGCGCCAGCGCGUUGCGCAGGUGGGCAUGUUGGCCACAGCCGCACGCGGCAUGCAGGCCGGAAAUGUGGGUGGCUCCUGUGCCGUAAUUGAAAGAACUGAAAUCAUACAACGUAGCUUGCAAGGCUGGGCUCAUGACACGGCCGCGGGAAGAGGAAGCGUUUGGCGAAGCGACACUUUUGUGCAAGCAAACGGUCGCGCCUUUGGUAGCGCAACGUAUACAGCACCUUGUUCAGAGUCAAGUCAAAUUACAAAGUUGCGCAAAGUAUAACAUACAUAAACUUAAUUAAACAUAAGAACAGAUAAGACGUUUAGAGCCUUGUCGGUGACAUGGACGCCGCUGUUGCCUUGGAACAGCUAUUUGCUGUGCAUAGGGACGUGCCCGCGUUAGCCGUGUUGCAACAGCUCAGGAUGGAUUUCAGCCAGCAACAGCUUCAAGAGCUGCUGCACAACCACCGGGAAUGUCUUCAGUUGGGCACGUGUAGUUUUGGUCGGCGGGGUCGAGCAUCGUACGCAUUGCGCACAGAAACCAAGGUGCAGCGUCUCUGUAACAUCGCCAACAUAUCCGGUACGCGGUGGCAGGCUUGCCGAGCACGAAAUGAAGGGGGGUCGCAUCUCACCAUUCAACUAAGUGUGCGAGUUUACCUAUCAGGAUGUUUGUUUGCAUAUAUCCCUCCAAGCGAGGGGGCUUGGACCUAUGCUGAUGUUCGUUACAAGAAGUGAACUGAGGACUGAUGCUACACGUCAUGUAUACGUGUUGCUUAGCUUGCAACGAGACACGCCCACGAUGAAAGGCAUGCACGUAAAUUCGCCCGUGCGCCGAACGCCUUGUAACGCUUUAGCUACACUCACAAUACAUUAUACUGCUACACUAUUCUCUCCAGUCCUACCACAUUAUAUUUCACCGACGUACUUCAGCACCUUCCACAACAAUACAUGCUUCGUAAACGCGGUCAGCUGCUUCACCAGGGCCCCCAUAUUUUAUGACCAUCUGCUACGUUUGUCUAGCACUGUCGUACCGGAGGUGGGGUCGGCAGCAGACCAUGAACUUCUCGCCUAGGAAAAUACUUGGCGCAGCCAAGAAACAUAAUUCAAAUCUGUUAGUUCAUCCCCUUGGUCUUAGGGUUGCCUUCAAGUCGACGUAGAUGCCACCAGAGGUCGGCAAACCCUGAAUAACUGUCACGGGUACUGGUGCCAGGGUCGAAUAACUGUAUGGAAAUUUUUUGGUAAAAGCCUUCAAAAAGCCUUCAAAACUGCGCAAAUCUGCCUUUUGGGGGGAAUUUCUGCACCCUGCCGUACGGCUGCCGUACCCGUGAUGAAGAAUAGAGUUGAAUUUCUGCAACGGGUACAACGGAAGGACCCGUGGUACCAGCGGCGUUUGCCGACCUCUGGAUGCCACCUCCUGUCACCGCCGUAUCGGAAUGCACUUAUAAAGCAAAAGCCCCCGAAAAGAUUAUAACCUUGCAGAACUCAUUUCAGUGCUUUUGGAAAAGAGGUUUAGACCUUGCCACCCCGGCAAGCCAGAAACUAGUUUCGGUCGCAAAACUUAUUCAUCUUUUGUAUUUUCAAAGCACACACGCGCGUGAUAGAAUAAGAGAAUUAUUAACAGUUUAAUACUUGUGGAAUUUCGUAGGCGUUUGCGGUGCAACUGGCGCGAAGAGGACACCAGAGGUCACAGGAAAUACAGCUCUUACUAGCAGGUCUUAAUGACGAGGGGUGCCUGACGGCGUUGCAUGGACUCCAUCGAUGCAUGUGCCUCGGCAUGAAGGGUGAAUACAAAACGUUUCAUAUGCACAGACCUCAUAGUUUGCAGCAUUUUAAGGGAGGUCAAAGGUGUUUCGCACGCAGCAGCUAGUGCAGCUUUGGCCCGAAUACUGUAUACACGAGUGGCCUACAUAAAGGCAUACCUUUAUACAACGGAUUAUUAGGCUCUCACAGCUUUGCAUGCGUACACAUGGUAACCUAUAGCCUACAGGCCUAUAGACCAUGCUGUAUACAACAGAUCGCCUAUAGGUGUGAUGUAUACGAUUAUAUACGCGAAAUCACCUAUACGCCACAUAUUCCGUGGUCCUACCUGGUCCUACAUAUUAGGCGAUGGCCCGACCUAUAGGUGACCUCCAAUUUUACUGACGUAAUACCUGCCCUUCUUGUCAGCACAAUAAGGCUUCAAAUCAAAAGCCAGGCGGACUGCUGCAGCCCCUCCCCAUUCCACAUAAUGUUUGGGAUAGUGUGUCAAUGGAUUUGGUCACACAGCUACCAACAACCCGCAAUGGGCAUGACGCAUUAGUAGUGUUCAUGGACCGCCUGAGCAAAAAGACGCACUUCGCUCCCAAAACCACAUCAGUCAGUGCAGAAGAUCUAGCCUGCCUCUUUGUGGCUAUGGUUUUCAAACAGCACGGCCUUCCACAGAAUAUUCUGUCUGACAGGGACACACGUUUCACAAGCAACUUUUGGAAGGAAAAUGUUUGGGCCGGGCCCCAGCGUGAAGCGCCCAGGGGGCUCCCGCCCUGUAAGAUUGCCCAUGUCCAUGUGGCUGUGUGUGUGGCCAUGUGUGUGGCCGUAUGUGUUGUAAGAGGGAUCAGCUCCCCUGGCUCCUAACUGAGUACUCUUUGCCUGGUGUUACAUUGGUGCGAAUUGCUAGGGGGUGGGAUCUCCCUGGAUCGAAUCCGGUUGCAAACAUAUUGCACACCAGGCAAGAUGCAGCAUACUCUUACCCCAAAGGUGGAUGCCCGGGUGGGCGAGGAGUCUACCAGCUGAGUAAAAACAAAGUCCUCCAUCUCGGACGGGGACUGACGAAAUGUCAAUAACACUCAAACUCACAAUCAAACGGGAUCUCAAACAACCUAAAUCCUACGGGAUAUGCCCGGGGGCGCCCGAGGACGUUCACUCGAAGGGGGGAGGAAUGUAAGAGGGAUCAGCUCCCCUUGCAUCUCCCAACUGAGUACUCUUUGCCUGGUGUUACAUGUGUAACAGACCAAACACAAUAUCUCGCCCGGC